AAAACGACUCUCGGCAACGGAUAUCUUGGCUCUCGCAUCGAUGAAGAACGUAGCGAAAUGCGAUACUUGGUGUGAAUUGCAGAAUCCCGUGAAUCAUCGAGUCUUUGAACGCAAGUUGCGCCCGACGCCAUUCGGCCGAGGGCACGUCUGCCUGGGUGUCAC
rnacentral:rRNA from 1 species